CAACCUGAGAGUUUGAUCCUGGCUCAGAGCGAACGCUGGCGGCAGGCCUAAUACAUGCAAGUCGAGCGGCCACUUCGGUGGCAGCGGCGGACGGGUGAGUAACGCGUGGGAAUGUGCCCUUUGGUACGGAACAACUGAGGGAAACUUCAGCUAAUACCGUAUGUGCCCUUCGGGGGAAAGAUUUAUUGCCAUUGGAGCAGCCCGCGUUGGAUUAGGUAGUUGGUGAGGUAAAGGCUCACCAAGCCGACGAUCCAUAGCUGGUCUGAGAGGAUGAUCAGCCACACUGGGACUGAGACACGGCCCAGACUCCUACGGGAGGCAGCAGUAGGGAAUCUUGCGCAAUGGGCGAAAGCCUGACGCAGCCA
rnacentral:rRNA from 1 species